UACGUAGGGUGCGAGCGUUGUCCGGAAUUAUUGGGCGUAAAGGGCUCGUAGGCGGUUUGUCGCGUCGGGAGUGAAAACUCAGGGCUUAACCCUGAGCCUGCUUCCGAUACGGGCAGACUAGAGGUAUGCAGGGGAGAACGGAAUUCCUGGUGUAGCGGUGAAAUGCGCAGAUAUCAGGAGGAACACCGGUGGCGAAGGCGGUUCUCUGGGCAUUACCUGACGCUGAGGAGCGAAAGUGUGGGGAGCGAACAG
rnacentral:rRNA from 1 species